UGGGAGCUGUGUGUGUGUGUGUGUGUGUGUGUGUGUGUGUGUGCGCACAGUCAUAGCCUGCAGGAAAGCAGCAGCAUUGUUAACAGCUACAGUAGGGAAAGCCUCCAGACAAAACUCAGUGACCCCUAGUAAGAGAGUGGACUGGUUCCAGGUGCUUUCCUAAACUCCAGAUUUUUCCAACAGCUUUUGGCUGCAGUCCCCCCUUCAGGCACUGCAGAGCGCUUAUCGGGAUCUUAGAGUCGGAGGCGAAUGUUUGUAAGCAAAAAGAGUGCAGUGUCACCUAGAUAUCUUUAUUGGACUCUCUGCAGGAGUAUGAGGAAAUGAUACCCUUAUUAGAUGUUAUCCACAUGUUCAUAUGGGUAAUGUGAGAGCAACGAUCUUCAAAGGAUUUAAAUGGCCAAAUAUGAACUAUUAAAGAGUAAAGCAGGUCCUUGCUUAUGUGCUCAAGAGCCUCAUGAGAUGUUAGAUGGAGUCAGCCCUCAUGGAGCUUUAUGGUUCACAGACAUUUGGACAGGAUUUCUUUCACUGGGGGAGGUCAGAUGAUUUCAGUCUUACAUGUGUUCAUCAGUGACUUAAUCCGAUCCUAAGAACAUGUGUGUGUGAUUUUUCUCCCUGUACUACAAUAAGUGCACUUGUUGGUCCUUGCCUUAUUUAAUUCCCAUUGAGAAAAAUUGUGCUUUAUGCUAGCAAUGUGGCUCAGACUAAAAUGUCUCAACAACUAUUGAAUUUAUUGCCAAAGAAAUUGGACAGACAUUCGUGGUCUCCAGAGGAUGAAUCCCUCUGACUUUGGUUUCCCUCUGAUGCUACAGGCAGGUUUACAUUUGUGGUUCAGAGUGAAAUAUCUUGACAACUUUCUGGAUGGAUUGCCAUGAAAUUUCACACAUAUAUUCACAGUCCCCAGUGGGUGAAUGUUUAUGAUCUCCUGACUUUUUCCUCUAGAACCAUCAAGUCAAAACUUCUUGUCCAAAAUUUUGGUUUAUGAUCAAAUACCUGAAAACUAAUGACAUUUCCCCUCAGCCUCAACUGCACUUUGAGGUUAGUGUCAAGUCAACCAGUGUUAUGAUGCUAAUGUGCUAAACUAAGAUGGUUCACUGGCUAAAUAUGACCUACUAAACAUCAGCAUUGUCAUUGUGAGUAUGACUGCAUGCUGAUGUUAACAUUUAGCUUUAAGUGUUGCGGUGUUUGAGUACAGCCUCACAUAAAGACUGAGUUUCAUCUUUUCCUUUUGUUAAUGCAGAAUUUUUUUUUCUAGUUUGCAACUGUCUGCCUGGAUAAUUUCAAAGUAAAAACAUUGUAUUAUCUAACAGCAAUAUUAAUAGUAAUACAAAAUGUAAGAAUUUAAGUCACUAGUGACAAAGACAACAUUGUUUUCCUGCAGAAUAUCCCUGUCAAUCUGUCUUUGGCAAUGGCUAAAGUACUAAUAUUUUACUAAUCACCUUCCACUAGAAUAAGAAUUCAAUGCAAAAGGGGCUUUAUUCAUAAUUGUAGCGUGAGGGGAAUUUCUCUGAGGCAUACUUGCACUCUUACCAAACAUUACCCCAAGCUGGAGGUCUUAAUCGAGGCAGUCAACACAUUCUAAUAAGAGGAAUAAAAAAGUUCAGUCACAUUUUUCUUCUUCUAAACUGAAUGACACUAUUAAUAGAGCCCGGGGCUGCAUUUUGCAGAUGUGUGACACUUUCUCAUCUCCUGCUUCCUGCUUCAGUGGAAAUAAGGAGGAAGUUGAGGCUAGUUGGCUGAGAUGUAUCACUGAGCCACGUGACCAGAAAUGAGACAUACACUGAGAAUGAACAGACUGACUGUUAGGGUCAUUGAAGAUUUUUAGAACACUGAAACCUCAAAGAAAAACAUGAAUGGAGGUCGCUAAGCUGCCCAUAUAGCCAGGCAACAAAAUGUCACUGAUCUUUUUUUUUCCAAAAACACAGGAAAAUUUAACAUUCAUUUUUGUGGUAAUUUUACUAACUUUCUUUCAUUUUAGCUCUAUGUCUUCUGCAAGUGCUCAGCUUAAUAUGUAUCAGAGCACAUCACAACUCAAUUUUCCCCCUAGCAGCCACAACAUGGCAUUGCUAAAACCAUCAUUGAAAUACAUGUUGCUUUAAAAUGAGGAUGAAUGCAUAAGUGACAAAUGGCCCAAUCAACACCUUCCUGUAACUCUUGCAGCUGCAGGCUCAAAUACAUGUGACCCAAGUCUUAUGCAUGGAGUCUGUCGCCCUGCACAGCCAAACGUCAGGGCUCUUAUGAAUACAUGCUCAUGUAGAGCCUUCUAGGAAGAACCACAGACCUAGAGCUCGGGGUAUAUCCGCCUCAGUGCAAUACAGAGUUAUUCGAAAACCUGGCCACAACUGCAGAUUAAGGCAUAUAUAUCACACAUGCAUAUGCUCACAGACACACCGGAAGAUAGAUGCGCUAGGGUUUAUUGCAAUCUGAAAUUACACCCUGACUGCUUGCACUGUAUUAUACCAUUUUUAUAGCAGUCUAAGUUUAGCAUGGCAGACUUUUCAUCCUACCCCAAAUUAACUGCAUUAAAUGACUUCAUUACUCUGUGACACUCAAACCCAAGUCCCUUAGUUACUAGUCAGUAUUUUAAAAGGGGUCACAAAUAAAUACUCUUUCCUAUGCUUUUGGGUACUGUAGGUUAUAUAGUGCAGUUGUGGGGGACUGUUUCAGUGGCAGAUUAAAAGACACUGUUUACACUGCUUGGUAUUUUCAGUACCAUGAUGAUGUAUGUGUCACAGACUCCACAUAGACUAUUCAUCAUAAUAAAGGAACAUGCCACCCAGAGCAAGAGAGAGGCUCAUGUAUUAUUUUUAGCAGGUUUUCGAAGAAUAAGCUAUUACAGGCUUUGGCUACACAGGCAAUACUUCAAUCAAUCAGUCAAUCAACUGGUUCUUGAUUUUGGUCUUUUCAAGAGAUAUGUUGAGAAAAUAUAGAUGUAUGAUUUCAGUGGGCUUAACGUUUCACUGAAUAGGAUUUAAAUACCCAACGUCCCUUCUCUCUUACAAACUAAUGCCAACCAUUGAGUGUUCAUGAACAAAAUUGCUGUCUUAAAAAAGUACAGUACUAUUCCUUAACUUUGCCCAAAAUCCUCAAAUUAUUAACAGCCUGUCCCCUCAAUGGCUCAUCUCAAACCUCAGAUUCAAAGCUUCAGGGUGCUCAUUUUCAUUUCCAAACAAACAGUCUACUGUCAGCACUGCUUUCCACUCAGCAAUCCUCCUCACCCUUUUCUCCCUACCUCCUUCCUUUCUCCAGCAAUCUCUUGUUCCUUCUCUACAAAAUGACUCUCUGACUCUCUCUGUUUCUCUAAGCCCCUGAGUCUGUAAAACACAUAUGUCUGAGAUGCAGUAAAGUCUAUAUGUAACAGUUAGAGAGCCUGUUAAUGUCCAUGAAUGCACUUAGAUCACACAUACAUAGUUUCACAAUCUCCAUAAAUACUGAAGUGUCAAGUCUGUUAUAUAAAAUAUCUCAAAACUAUCACCCUGACUAAGGAACAUGUUCUGAGCCACGGCCUAAACACACAAUUUAAUAACCGUUUACAAGGAGAUGAUAACAACACAUGUUGUAAAAAGAAAAAGGACAUGCUCCAAUUGCAGUGUUGCUUUUUUCUGUCCUUUCCCUUCCUCUUCUUCCGACCACGUUUGCAUUCCUUCUUCUUUAGCCUCUCUUUCUCACCCUUCUCAUUCUCUGUUCUGCUUCACAUAUCCCUUCAUUACCCUCUCUCCUGCUCUCCCUCCUCUGUCCAGGCUUCAUGAAAACAGAGAUACAGACUCAUACGCAGAGUGUGUUGGACAGUCAGGAACAGAGACAGUGAGUCAGCCUUAAAACUGUGCAACAGUGUUUUGCUCUUAGGUCAGCUGCUUCACAUUUUCAGUUUCGUCUCUCUCUCUCUCUCUCUCUCUCUCUCUCUCUCCCCAACACCCUUCUUCCCCUCCUCAUGGUAACAGAAAAGCCAGAGGUGGUCAGAUAAAGCUGAGGGAGAAAAAAAGAGAGGGAGUUAGACCGAGAGACAUAGAGAGUGUGAGAGGCUGACUCCAGAUUAAAGGACAACAUUCUGGGAAUUCCUUUCUGCUGAGAGCAUCCUCCCCCUCACCACCACCACCAUCCUCCUCCUCCUCAGCCCCCACUGCUGCACUCUCCUCCCCGCUCCGCUUUGGGGAGGAAAUGGCUUCUCCUGCCCCAGAGGACCUCCAGACCUCCUGGGCCAGACCUCCAAGCCUGACUGACAUGCAACAUCCGGACCUGUGCCACCAGCGCACUGGGCAUGCACAGUGGAGGAGUAUGACAAUGGAGUGCAUGCAUGUGAGAGCGGGGGCGUUUGGUUUGUGUAAUGUGCACCUAUUUUCCAUUGCUAUGAGGGACUACCACCAAAAUAUCAGUGACCUGAUGCCAUGAGGAUGACUGAGGCAGGGGCUUAGGGCUGCAGCACUGGAGGGACUGGGUCUGAUGGAGCUUGGCCGGGGGCCUGUGUUUACAUUCUCUUUCACUGAGGAAGCCCAGGAUGAAAGCGCACCACUGCACACACAGACACAUACUGUCCACACACACACACACACAUACACACACACACACAGACAAGUACUUUGGAUGCACCAGAAGCCAAAUAAUUGCUGUAACUGAAUCAAUAAAAGCAUGAUUGGACCUUCAAACUUUCAGCAGAUACUGAAUAAAAAAGGAAUGAGUGUGCAGUGCAGUUAAUUCUCUCAGGUAAAUGGCUUGACUGUUUCAGGCUUUGAGUCUUAAACUAGAAUUAGAUUACAUUCCUGAAAGCAAUCCACCACAAAUUAAAGUCUUCCUAAGUGAAUCUCAGAGGAAAACGGAUAAAGUCUACAGACAGUAUAGGCAGGCCACAUAUGGGAGAAGCAGCGGAUGUUAUAAUAAUAAUAUGAGCAAAACUAUGCACUCAGAGAGUACAGUGGAGCUGAGGCUGUGAUGUUGUGUCUCCAGAGAGGCCCCAUUCGAAGCUCCAGCAGUCAGCCAUGUUGUAAACACCAUUAUUUCACUCCUCCCUCACUUUCCCUCUUUCUCUCUCUUGUUCUGCAAAAAGGACAAUUUACAGUCGCAACAAUACCACUGCACCGGGCCAAGAAAGGAAAUAAGGAAGGAGAGAGGGAGAGAGAAGAUUUAAGAGAGAGGUGAGGGGGAAAGGUAGAUUAAGACAGAGGGGAGAGAGAGACAGAGCUACAGGGCCAGAGAGAAAAGUGCAAGAGCAGCACACAAACUGUAUACAGUAAAACAGGGAAAAAAAAGGGGCACCACAACUGUUGCCAAAGUAUGCACAGCGUACAGGAAUGCAGCAUGGGGCCCUCUGCGAGCGAAACAAAGACAGCACAGUCAGUGGCUCUCUCUCCCCAGUGCUACCACAUCCGCACAUCAUUAGCUGGAAAAUUCCUGAUAUAUGCUGUAAUUUUUUCUCUUUUUUUCCUCCUCUUCCUCUUUGCCGUUGCUGGUACAGACAAGGCUUUAAUAUCCAGAUGCCGGUGUGUGAGUGUGAGUGUGCGUGCACAUGCACCGCACACACACCGAUCAGUACCCCCUUUUCCCAUCCUGCAGGCGUUGCCAAGAGACCAAUCGACAAUUAAUAUUGUGAACUGCAGAGAAGAACAGCAGAACUACAAAUGUGAGGGGCCAGCCCCUUUGCUCCAGCCGGCUACAGUCAAAGCACAGAGGAUGACUUUUCCUUUUUUUCCCAUGCGGAGCCGUUUGAGGAGAUAUCUAAACAUUCCCAGAGAGUGCUGCACGUGCUCUCCUGCGUGCAGUGCAAGGGUUUUCCCCCCCUCCCACUCCCUACUGCUGCCUGCCUGCCUGCCUGCCUUUCUUUUGGUCAGUCCAGAGUAGGAACACAUUGUCUGGCAAAGGAACAGAUUCACAGACAUGACUGUCCAGUUCAUCCUUGGUCAUCACUCAGAAAUUUCUGUUUCAUCAGUCUUUGUUUCUGAACUCUGUUGCACAACUAGGGAUAGUGCACAACUAAUGCUUGCAUGUGUGAUAUUGCAGGAGUCCUGAGACAUAAUGUUUUGCAAAGAAGUUUUCAUAAAAUCAUUGUCGCAAAACUGUUAAACAAAGCUGCACCUUAACUAACAAAGUACCAAAAACCAUCAUCAACAAGCAUGCAGCUUGCCUGAAAGACCCAUUAUCUGCAGACCCGUCACUAUCUUUUAAGAUUACCAUAACAUGCCGCAAGUGAGAACACACCAAUCUGCACUUUCCCCUAACCCACACCCACAGAUUCUAACUGAUAUUCAUAGUCAAACAAGGGCCCAAAAAUGGGAAACACCUUCAUAGUGAAAAUACAAAUGCAGACUGAAUAGAGUCUGACUGCUCUUGAAAGCUCUGUAUUGUAAAAGACCGUCUGCUGCUUGAGUGCGGGCAGGAAAUCUGGUUUCAAUUUGUUUAAUGUCGUCUGAGAUAUGGGUGUCUUAUUCUGGUAAACGUAGUGGGAGGGCUAUAAGUAGAGGGAACUAGGGGGAAGAAUUGGGAAAAUACCUUUGAUCAGGUAACAGUUUCACUCCUCUGCCUGUCACCAAAAGCAGUUUACUGGAAACUAUGACAGCGACUGUACAGAUUCUCUCAGAAGAUAUUUCUCAAAAACCUCAUAAUAACAGUGCUAAUAUUCGGUUUAUUUGGUCCUGUAAAAGAAAAUGUAGAAGCAAUUAUUUCACUGAACAAGACUUGAAAGGACACAGCUGGAAGAAUCGUAAAAUUCCCUCUGGCUAUCGUGUAACUCAAUAACAGUCAGUUAAGAUAAGCUCAGAGGCAGAAGACAAAAAACAUCUUCACCACUAAUAAAGUUAAUCUUGUCAUCUCAUGUAAAUUAUGGAAGUUUAUUUUGGUUUCAAAAAAAGAAAAACACAAGAGUCCGACAACAAGUGCUAAAAUAAAAGACUGGUGGUAUUCCCCUUUAGUUUUCCAAAUCCAAUUUGACAGGCAACGACAUGCGCAUGACAAGCAUGAGAGAGGAAACUAAUGGGUUGCAUGGGACCAUCCAGUCAGCCUUGUAUUACAAUGAUUGCCAAUGUGUGGAUGGUGAAGACCACCACCUUCAGGUUACAGGAGGUUAUCUUUUGUAUGUUUUGAAAGGAACACCUGACCUAACCUCUGGUCCUCUGUCACUUCCAGAUCAAGGACCAUAUUAAGUCCUUCUAAAUGGAGCCAAAAGUUCCCUUUGCUAAGAGAUCCUUCUCGAGACCUGAGCAACUUUUACUGAGGAACUGAGAACUCCUACACUACAGGAACAGGUGGGGUUGACCCCGUUCAAAGUUCAUUAUUUGUAUUUAAAUAAUGUUCAGAAUUAUACUUUCCCAAUACACUGAUCUGACGUGGCGCAACGCCAGAAUCAGCUGACUGAUAGCAGGUGGGACUUAUGGACUCAUGAGUCCUCCAGACUACCUCUAAAUUAGGAGCCAGUAAUUACUCUUAGACCAGUGACUGUAGGAGUCCUACAGUAAGAACUGACACGCCUGACUGAAGCUCAUUCUCUCCACACUUGGCCAGUUAGAGAGACACUUUUAGCCUUAGGUUUAGGUUUAGGUAAUUUUGAUAUGUCCCUCGACUUUGAUUUAGAGUCCAAGUCAGAUGACUUCAAAUCAGCGUCUUUGAUCGAACCUGCCUAAUUCCACACCAGUAUUUGGAUGGUAAUAAGUCAUGCUCUAACACUGCUUUACACAAAGGAAUUUCUGUGACAUUACAGACUCUUGGGUGGUAUUUUGUAUUAAAAAUUUGCUGUAGCAUUUAUUCCAGAUUCAAAUAACAUCAAAAGAAAUGGUGCUCCCUAAAGUGCUUUAGCAGAAAUGGGAUCUCAGUGGGAUGGACCGAGAACAGAUCCCUCUCCACUCUUUUCUGGUAUGUCAGAUUAACCCAUCAGCUUUUCCCAUCUGCCUGUCACUCAUGGCUGUACAAUGAGGCUGCAGCCAGACUGGGGUCAUUAAAAAACCAUCAACAAAGCAACAGACCCCUAGGGACUGCCAGGGGCAGCCUAAUCUGGACCCCUGUACCAACCCAAUGGGUGGUCUCCCUCUCUUUUCCUACCUCCCUCCCUCCCCAACCCCUCCCAUCCCCCACCAGGGAGGGUGAAAUAUGUGCAACAUGGUAGGUGAGUGAGCCAUCAGUCACAUACAACCAUGCAUGUGCAAAUGCACCCAGACUCCACACAUUUUUUAUACACACACCCAUGCCGCAUUUUUUGUCAAUGACAUAUUAACAAGCAAGCACGUUGCUAGGUGAGAAAGCAAAUUCAUCACAAAAAGAGAAGUUCGACAAUGCUGGUAAAUCAUCAGCAGAAAGUACAAGAGUGCUAUUUUCAGUUAGUGGCUCUGGAAAAAAAAAAGAGGAGCGAGGGACUCUUUUGACGACUUUAUGCAAAUGCUCACUUCAGCUAAACCUGUCAUUCUAGAAGCGCUAAAUGAAUCACUUUGAAAGUGAGAGAGAAGUGUCUCGUUCGCUUAAGCAACAGCAGUUCUCCAAAGCCCAUCUGUCUGCCAGUAACGGUGGCAUUAGGUGACUAAAUAAGUAACUGCUGGUCUGUUGGGCAAAGGGGAAGAUCCUCUUAAACAGUGUGUGUAUUUGUGUACAUGUGCACUGCAUACAGUGUAGAUUAUCUGCUUUUAUUAGCAAGAGGAAAUACUGAAUGGAUGAAUGGAGACUGUGUGUGUGUGUGUGUGUUUAUGUAUGUGUGUGUUGGACUGAUAGGGGGAUUCCAGACACAGGAACAUUCAUCUGGAACCGAAGAUCCCGUGCUCACGUUGCAGCGCCCCGCUGCAGUAACACGCGCACGCUCACACAUACACACACCACUUCCAUCUCAUUUUUGUGGCCCAGUCUGUAUAACCAAGGAAGGAAAUGAGUGUGUGAGUUUGUGUGCAAACAGAUUCACAUGUUAAGUGCCUCUGUGUGUACAUGAGUAGUUUCGGGGGACUUGAUAUCUGUCACUCAUAUCUAAAGGUGAAUUCCCAGCUAAGUAUUCUAACCUCGUCUAAAAGUGUCCCCGUCUCGUCCAUAAUGAGGUAUAACAUUUAUUCAAAGACAAAACCUCCAGUGAAACCACACAUAUACUGAAUAUUGUAUAACACUAUGUAAAUUCUAUGGUUAGGUAUGACUUCCUCUCAGAGUUAGCUGUGUAUUAU